CCUAAGCGAGUUUGACCCGCUCAGGAUGAACGCUAGCGGCAGGCUUAACACAUGCAAGUCGAGGGGUAUAGUUCUUCGGAACUAGAGACCGGCGCACGGGUGCGUAAGACUUAUGCAAUCUACCUUUCACAGAGGGAUAGCCCAGAGAAAUUUGGAUUAAUACCUCAUAGUAUAAUUGAAUGGCAGCUUUAAUUAUUAAAGUCACAACGGUGAAACAGAGCAUGCGUCCCAUUAGCUAGUUGGUAAGGUAACCACUUACCAAGGCGACGAUGGGUAGGGGUCCUGAGAGGGAGAUCCCCCACACUGGUACUGAGACACGGAACAGACUCCUACGGGAGGCAGCAGUGAGGAAUAUUGGUCAAUGGGCGCAAGCCUGAACCAGCCAUGCCGCGUGCAGGAUGACGGUCCUAUGGAUUGUAAACUGCUUUUGUACAGGAAGAAACACUGGUUCGUGAACCAGCUUGACGGUACUGUAAGAAUAAGGAUCGGCUAACUCCGUGCCAGCAGCCGCGGUAAUACGGAGGAUCCAAGCGUUAUCCGGAAUCAUUGGGUUUAAAGGGUCCGUAGGCGGUCAGAUAAGUCAGUGGUGAAAGCCCAUCGCUCAACGGUGGAACGGCCAUUGAUACUGUCUGACUUGAAUUAUUAGGAAGUAGCUAGAAUAUGUAGUGUAGCGGUGAAAUGCUUAGAGAUUACAUGGAAUACCAAUUGCGAAGGCAGGUUACUACUAAUGGAUUGACGCUGAUGGACGAAAGCGUGGGUAGCGAACAGGAUUAGAUACCCUGGUAGUCCACGCCGUAAACGAUGGAUACUAGCUGUUGGGAGCAAUCUCAGUGGCUAAGCGAAAGUGAUAAGUAUCCCACCUGGGGAGUACGUUCGCAAGAAUGAAACUCAAAGGAAUUGACGGGGGCCCGCACAAGCGGUGGAGCAUGUGGUUUAAUUCGAUGAUCCUCGACAACCUUACCAAGGCUUAAAUGUAGAUUGACCGGUUUGGAAACAUAGCUUUCGCAAGACAAUUUACAAGGCGCUGCAUGGUUGUCGUCAGCUCGUGCCGUUGAGGUGUCAAGGUUAAGUCCUAUAACGAGCGCAACCCCUGUUGUUGGAACUCUAACGAGACUAGGCCAGUGCAAACUGUCCGAGGAAGGUGGGGAUGACGUCAAAUCAUCACGGCCCCUUACGCCUUGGGCUACACACGUGCUACAAUGGCCGGUACAGAGAGCAGCCACUGGGUGACCAAGAGCGAAUCUACAAAACCGGUCACAGUUCGGAUCGGAGUCUGCAACUCGACUCCGUGAAGCUGGAAUCGCUAGUAAUCGGAUAUCAGCCAUGAUCCGGUGAAUACGUUCCCGGGCCUUGUACACACCGCCCGUCAAGCCAUGGAAGCUGGGGGUGCCUGAAGUCGGUGACCGCAAGGAGCUGCCUAGGGUAAAACUGGUAACUAGGGCUAAGUCGUAACAAGGUAACCUCAAGUCG
rnacentral:rRNA from 1 species